AUUGAACGCUGGCGGCAGGCCUAACACAUGCAAGUCGAACGGUAGCACAGAGAGCUUGCUCUCGGGUGACGAGUGGCGGACGGGUGAGUAAUGUCUGGGAAACUGCCCGAUGGAGGGGGAUAACUACUGGAAACGGUAGCUAAUACCGCAUAAUGUCGCAAGACCAAAGAGGGGGACCUUCGGGCCUCUUUCCAUCGGAUGUGCCCAGAUGGGAUUAGCUUGUUGGUGAGGUAAUGGCUCACCAAGGCGACGAUCCCUAGCUGGUCUGAGAGGAUGACCAGCCACACUGGAACUGAGACACGGUCCAGACUCCUACGGGAGGCAGCAGUGGGGAAUAUUGCACAAUGGGCGCAAGCCUGAUGCAGCCAUGCCGCGUGUGUGAAGAAGGCCUUCGGGUUGUAAAGCACUUUCAGCGGGGAGGAAGGAGAUACGGUUAAUAACCGUGUUGAUUGACGUUACCCGCAGAAGAAGCACCGGCUAACUCCGUG
rnacentral:rRNA from 1 species